rnacentral:rRNA from 1 species
UACAGAGGUCUCAAGCGUUGUUCGGAUUCAUUGGGCGUAAAGGGUGCGUAGGCGGCGCGGUAAGUCGGGUGUGAAAUCUCGGGGCUUAACUCCGAAACUGCAUUCGAUACUGGCGUGCUUGAGGACUGGAGAGGAGACUGGAAUUUACGGUGUAGCAGUGAAAUGCGUAGAUAUCGUAAGGAAGACCAGUGGCGAAGGCGGGUCUCUGGACAGUUCCUGACACUGAGACACGAAGGCCAGGGGAGCAAACGGG